GUGAGGAAUUUUCCGCAAUGGGCGAAAGCCUGACGGAGCAAUGCCGCGUGAAGGAUGAAGGCCUAUGGGUUGUAAACUUCUUUUCUCAGAAAAGAAUUAUGACGGUAUCUGAGGAAUAAGCAUCGGCUAACUCUGUGCCAGCAGCCGCGGUAAGACAGAGGAUGCAAGCGUUAUCCGGAAUGAUUGGGCGUAAAGCGUCUGUAGGUUGUUUAAAAAGUAUUCUGUCAAAGAUUAGGGCUUAACCCUAGAUAGGCAGAAUAAACUUUUAAGCUAGAGUUUGGUAGAGGCAGAGGGAAUUCCCAGUGGAGCGGUGAAAUGCGUAGAUAUCGGGAGGAACACCAAAGGCGAAGGCACUCUGCUGGGCCAAUACUAACACUGAGAGACGAAAGCGAGGGGAGCAAAUGGGAUUAGAAACCCGAGUAGUCC
rnacentral:rRNA from 1 species